ensembl:miRNA
GAUGGACCCGUCCUCCGGUGCCUACUGAGCUGAUAUCAGUUCUGAUUUUACAUACUGGCUCAGUUCAGCAGGAACAGGAGUCGAGCCCUAAA